rnacentral:rRNA from 1 species
CUUCGGAAAUGAAAGGCGAACUGCUUAGUAACACGUGGCUAACCUACCCUAAUGUUUGGGAUACCCCCGGGAAACUGGGUCUAACACCAAAUAGAAGAUGAUUUCUGGAAUGAUUUAUCUUUCAAGUUAGGAUGGGGCUGCGGCUGAUUAGCUCGUUGGCGGGGUAAUAGCCCACCAAGGCUUUGAUCAGUAAGGGCUCUUAGCGGAGGGGCCCUAAGAGGGAAUCUGAGACACUAUUCCCAGCCUUACGGGGUGCAGCAGUCGGGAAACUUCUACAAUGCGCGCAAGCGUGAUAGAGCAAGCCAGAGUGCUUUCCUAUAAUUGGAAAGCUUUUAUGAGAUGUAAAAAGUCUCAUGAAUAAGGACUGGGCAAGACGAGUGCCAGCCGCCGCGGUAGUACUCGCGGUCCAAGUGGCAGCCAUGUUUAUUGGGUCUAAAACAUCCGUAGCUUGCUCGGUAAGUCCCUUGUGAAAUCUGGCAUCUUAAGUGUCAGGCGCGCAAGAGAUACUGCCAAGCUAGAGACCGGGAGACGUAAGAAGUACAGUUAGGGUAGCGGUUAAAUGCGUUGAUCCUUUCUGGACUAACGAUAGCGAAGGCAUCUUACGAGAACGGAUCUGACAGUGAGGGAUGAAGGCUAGGGGCGCAAAACGGAUUAGAUACCCGUGUAGUCCUAGCAGUAAACACUGCACACUAAACAUCAGUACCUCCUCGAGAGGUAUUGGUGCUGAAGGGAAGCCGUAGAGUGUGCUACCUGGGAAGUAUAGUCGCAAGGCCGAGACUUAAAGGAAUAGGCGGCGGGAUACUACAACCAGUGACGCGUGCGGUUUAAUUGGAUUCUACACCGAAAACCUCACCAGGAUCGACAGCAGAAUGAAGGUCAGUCUGAAGGGCUUACCUGACACGCUGAGAGGACUUGCAUGGCCAACUUCAGCCUGUGUCGUGAGAUGAUCUGUUAAAUCAGUUAACAGGCGAGACCCGUGUCUCUAUUUGCACGAACAAUAGAGAGACUGCCUUGGCAACAAGGAGGAGGGUACGGGCUACGUUAGGUAAGUAAAAGCCGAAUAUCCUGGGCUACACGCGCGCGGCAAUGCUGCAUUCAAAGGGCUGCGACCCCGAAAGGGGAAGCUAAUCUCAUAAACUGCAGCUUAGUUCAGAUCGAAGGUUGCAACUCACUCUCGUGACGCUGGAAUUGGUAGUAAUUGGAUCUUAGCAAGGUCCAGUGAAUAAGUCAAUGUCCCGUGCUCUCACCGCCCGUCAAACCAACCGAGUUUAGCAUUGACGAGGCCCGUCAGGGACGAAUCUUUGUUAGACAAGGUAGGUUAAGUCGACACAAGGUA